GACGAACGCUGGCGGCAUGCCUAAUACAUGCAAGUCGAGCGAAUGACGAAGAAGCUUGCUUCUUCUGAUUUAGCGGCGGACGGGUGAGUAACACGUGGGCAACCUGCCCUGUAGAUUGGGAUAACUCCGGGAAACCGGGGCUAAUACCGAAUAAUCCAUUUCCUCUCAUGUGGAAAUGUUAAAAGACGGUCUCGGCUGUCACUACAGGAUGGGCCCGCGGCGCAUAGCUAGUUGGUGAGGUAACGGCUCACCAAGGCGACGAUGCGUAGCCGACCUGAGAGGGUGAUCGGCCACACUGGGACUGAGACACGGCCCAGACUCCUACGGGAGGCAGCAGUAGGGAAUCUUCCACAAUGGACGAAAGUCUGAUGGAGCAAUGCCGCGUGAGUGAAGAAGGUUUUCGGAUCGUAAAACUCUGUUGUGAGGGAAGAACAAGUACGAGAGUAACUGCUGUACCUUGACGGUACCUCAUUAGAAAGCCACGGCU
rnacentral:rRNA from 1 species